GGAACUACGCCCCUCUGCAUGCAAAUCCUCCUCCGGAUCUGCCCUGCCGGUCACUAACGACAUCCACGGCCCUGCCCCAUCACCGUGACGUAAGCGGCGCUCACCCAAUCGUCUCCGGCCUCCGGUCCCGCCUAGAUCACGUCCGGGGCGGGGUUAAGAGCUCUCCUUUCCAUCUGAUUCCUCUCAUAACAGCUCAAUGCUCUUCGUUCGUUCUCUCGCAGCCAAAGAGCCCGAUUAGGCGUUCACCUAAUUAUCGGCUUGUUAUACCAAGUCGGAAGUCAACACAACACACACUUAGAGUCCAAUAUGAUGCUCUAAACUUUCCAACUACUACUGCUUUCAACUAAAUAGAGCUUUUUUUUUCCUUCUCGGUUGAGGGAGGGGCGUGGGGAGCUUUUUGAUUUUGCGUUCUUUAUUUACUUACAGCUGUAUAGGAAACUCGAGCGCGGAUUUUUUCCCUCUGGUGUUUGAAUUUACAUUUGAAUAUGAAACAGCAUCAAUUUAAACUUUAAACGAAAUCGGAAUCAGGAAGCUCCGUUUCUUUCCUCACAGAAUGCCUAGAAGACGAGUACUGAGAACUGCUGAGCACUGCGCGUUCGACCUGAGUUCGAUCCCAGAAGAACGGGCUGGCUCUAUGGUUGGUUUUGGGAGUUUUUCUUGCGCGUAAUAUGAGUACUAGGUAGUUUGUCUUAAUAAGUCCUACGUGAAGGCAUACCUCCUCUUAGGCAAAGAGCCUUCGUAUUCUUCGCAGUAUCCAGAUAAUCUAAACAAGAUUAGUUAUACUCUAGCGGAUCGUGAGAAAUUGCAGUUAAAAACAUGUGGAUCACAAGGACAUGAAGGUUCGAAAACUGCUAUGCUGACGGCGUAUUCGAAGAAACUCACUUUCCAUCGUUUUUGUCGGUAAUGAAUAAUUUAUUGAAGUUUAAACUAUGGAUAUGGUAUUUUUUAAACUUAAGAUAACGCAACUGCUAAAGUUUCAUUCCAGGAAAUGAAACCUCAUUCUUCACUGCAACCGGAAGCUCUAAAUCUGAAGGGUUGAACUUGUGGCACCUUUCCAUUUCCGUCACCGCCAAGAGUAUACAGAUUUCUUCAUGAAAAGAACGUGGAAAACGACGAAUUUUUGUUUUAUCAAAAUAUUUCACUCAGUUUCAGAAUUUCAUCGAAGAACAGACCUUUUGCGAUAAUGUUGAUAGCUCUGGUACUCCGGACAAUAUAGCAACAGAGCAAAGAAACAAACGUUUUAACUCAGUGAAUGAUGUAAAUUUUUGCCUUUGUUAAUGUAUUCAAUUUACUUUUACGAAAACAUUAAUCUGAAACCUAAUAUAUAUGACAAUUAACACUUCUCUAAAUUUUAUAGAAUAAAGAACGAUAUAAAAGGCAA